GUUCCUUUAAGCAAAUUAAAGAACCAUUCUGGUCACCAUAACAACUUCACCUAAAUGAAAAUGCUAUGAUGCCAGGAAACCCCUGGGUGCUCGCUUUCCUUUAAGGGGUUAAAUUUCUCUCAAAUGGUUUAACCCCAAAGGCUUCCUCCAUCUCCAGGUCGCUCAGUGGUAUUUGGCUUCUGAAACAGAGUGUCAGGAAGUGCAGGUUGACGUCAGG